UAUAGGAGGUCCAGCCUGCCCAGUGACCACAAGUUCAACGGCCGCGGUAUUUUGACCGUGCAAAGGUAGCGCAAUCACUUGUCUUUUAAAUAGAGACCUGUAUGAAUGGCCAAACGAGGGCUUAACUGUCUCCCCUUUCCAGUCAGUGAAAUUGAUCUGCCCGUGCAGAAGCGGACAUAAAGAUACAAGACGAGAAGACCCUUUGGAGCUUAAGGUACAAAACUCAACCACGUCAAACAACUCAAUAAAAAGCAAUAAACCUUGUGGAACAUGAGAUUUUACCUUCGGUUGGGGCGACCACGGAGGAAAACAAAGCCUCCAAGUGGACUGGGACUAACCUCCUAAAACCAAGAGAGACAUCUCUAAGCCACAGAACAUCUGACCAAACAUGAUCCGGCUCCCUGAAGCCGAUCAACGAACCAAGUUACCCUAGGGAUAACAGCGCAAUCCUCUCCCAGAGUCCAUAUCGACGAGAGGGUUUACGACCUCGAUGUUGGAUCAGGACAUCCUAAUGGUGCAGCCGCUAUUAAGGGUUCGUUUGUUCAACGAUUAAAGUCCUACGUGA
rnacentral:rRNA from 1 species